rnacentral:miRNA from 1 species
CAGUUUACCUGUCUAUGAGAGGGAGUACCCAGCAUCUCCUAUCUCGUAGGCGGGGUUAACUAAU